UAAAGAUCAAGGAGUGAGUAAAGAUCAAGUCUAAGCUGAAUGAAUAGAAGUGAUUGCAUUACAUUUGAGCUUGUAAUUUAUUUAUUUUUUAAUCUUGAGUAGCAUUAUGGUUUCAUUCAGAACCACUAAUGCCAAUCCAUCACAGGGUACCAUGUGUUCACUCAUUCUCAGGCUAAUUCAUACCUAGAGGCAUAGGCAAUCCACCUACCAGCAUAUUUUUGGAAAUGGGAGGAAACUGGGGUUUCCUCCAGGUUCUCAUGUCAACAUGUGGAGAAUAUGUGCAACCCUAUACAGACAGCAUCCCGAGCUCAGGAAUGAACCAGAGACCCUGGGGGUGUGAGGUGGCAACAGUAGACACUAUACCACCACUAUGGUUUUUAUUUGCCAUAUUUGUGUUUAUAAACCGAAGUGCCACUACUACUAUAAGAAGAAAAGGGGGGAGGGAAAAACACAAAAAAAAAAACUAAACCAACACCUGUGGAACACAAAAAGAAAACAAAACCCUGUCAAUUGAUAUAAAUCUAUAUUUAUAUAAAUUAUUUUACACAACAUAUAAAAAAUAUAUUAGAAAAAGAAACAAUUGGUAGCAAUUACUCUGAGGAACAAUUUUGAUUGUUCAGUGUUUAAAAAUACUGAUAAUACUUACAACACACUUAGAAAAGAGCUGCCUAGUCACUGCAAACUUUAAGUGACAUUUAUUCAUUUGGUAAACACUUCCAAAGUGACCUCAUACAAUCUGAGCAAAUCAGAGUUAAGGGCCCUGCAGUGACUCUGACUCUCGUGCUCACUAUUACUGGACGUUAACCGAAGAGAUACUACUGCAGAUCAUUUUUCAUUUAACUCACAAAAUUCUAAAAGCAAGAGAUUUACUGUAUACAAAUAGCCUUUUCAUACACAAUAGCUCCAUCUAGUGCUCACUCUGCAAAAAGUCAUGUGUGCACAUGCAAACACACUCAAAUCUCUGUGUUUGUGCAACAAGACAAGCUUAGAUUUUAUUGCUAUAAUUAAACACAUUGUAAACAACAUGCUUUAGGAAUCUCGGGGGAAUCCAGCAAUCUGAGCAGAAGUGUGUGUGCAUACACUUGUGACAGUUCAGCAUGGCGAACCACACAGGCCUAGUUCAUAAGCUACGUGAAAAUAUUCACGUUUGUAUCGCAACUGUCGAGAAGCCAAGGAUGAUAAAGCGGAGUAAAUGUGUAUCCACUUAAAUAUGAGGAGUGAGAGCGAGAGAAAGAGAACGAGAGAAUGUGUAUUCCAAAAUGGCCACAACUCGCCACAAAUAAAAUAAACUUCUGUUUUCAUAUCAACAAAAGCUGAAUACAGGCUUGUUUCACUCAUUUUACUGUACCACUAAACAACACAAGAGAUGAAAGAGGCUCUUUUGUCCACUUUCCAUGCCUCAAUCAUCUCACUCAUACGUUUACGUCACUGGACCUUUUCACUUACUCACUGUUGCUUCAUUCUUCUGAAGCCACACUGAAGCUCGUAUUCAGCAGAGUAUGCCUGCAUAAUGCUGCUGUAAAGUAGGUGGGUGUGUAAUUAAGACAACUACAACACACAUUUUGUAUUAUACAUGCUUGGCAUAUUUUGUUUUAUACAGUGGUAGCAUGCGGGUUACAUGAACACCACCAAUCAUGCUACAGCUCUCACUCAGUCAUACACAGCAGGUUGUGGAUUCAUGAGUUACAGAGACAUUAGUGCAGACAGGAAGUGGUGAGGUUACACUUGUGUGGUCCACGUUCAUUACUGUGUCUUCUAGCUUAGACAGCAAUUACACAACCAAGGUCCAGUUUAAAAAAAACCAACAGUCCAAACAUCAAACAAAACACUCACAUCAGAUGAGGAGACAGGCACAGCACUGUUAAACUGACACAAAGCUUUAGUAGGGGCAGAGAGGGUGCUGAUGUGCACAUAUCAACUGAAUAACUAUAGACCAAGCACUGGCUGGCACAGAGAAAAAACAAACGAAGAAGAAGAAGAAGAAGAACAACAACAACAACAACAACAACAACAGGCUAAGGCCCUUAUGAUAAAUAUGCACUGAAUGUAGUUCCUGUAUUGAAAAUAAAGUAAAAAAUAAUUCCUCAGGGCUCAUGCAUCAUUUUUGUGAGAGCAAGACAGUUACCCUUUGAAGGCAAACUAAAAACAGACAAAUUUACUAUUAAAAAACAAAAAACAAAAGGCCAAUCCUAAUUGUGACCAUUUCUUUCAUACAGAAGAGCUAUUCUUCAGUAACUGACAUGUAAAGGAAUACAAACUAACAUUGUGCCGUUGAGAGAAGUCAAAAGACCUUCUACAGCUUAUGAUGUUUUAUAAUGAGACAUGCCACAAACUCGUAGCUGCCCCAGAUAAACCACAUGGGUCUCCAAAGGAGCUCUGAACCCCAUUACUGCAUAAUUAAUGAAAUACAGACCCAGAACAAGAGCCAGAUGAGAGAAGCCAAGCCUCGUCUUGUCUCCAGAUAGUCAUGUUGGGUCUUUUUCUACUCCUUAACACGUAUACAGCUGAAGCACGGUAAACAGGAAGAUAUACAAACAUACAACAAAUUAAAGGGAGGAAAAAAAAAAUAAAAAAUGAUGGCUCUGUUGUGCUGUGCAUUUUGCUGCCUUGGUUGGGGUUCAC
ensembl:lncRNA